rnacentral:rRNA from 1 species
UCAGUCGACUCCUACGGGGAGGCAGCAGUAGGGAAUCUUCCACAAUGGGCGCAAGCCUGAUGGAGCAACACCGCGUGAGUGAAGAAGGGUUUCGGCUCGCAAAGCUCUGUUGUUAAAGAAGAACACGUAUGAGAGUAACUGUUCAUACGUUGACGGUAUUUAACCAGAAAGUCACGGCUAACUACGUGCCAGCAGCCGCGGUAAUACGUAGGUGGCAAGCGUUAUCCGGAUUUAUUGGGCGUAAAGAGAGUGCAGGCGGUUUUCUAAGUCUGAUGUGAAAGCCUUCGGCUUAACCGGAGAAGUGCAUCGGAAACUGGAUAACUUGAGUGCAGAAGAGGGUAGUGGAACUCCAUGUGUAGCGGUGGAAUGCGUAGAUAUAUGGAAGAACACCAGUGGCGAAGGCGGCUACCUGGUCUGCAACUGACGCUGAGACUCGAAAGCAUGGGUAGCGAACAGGAUUAGAUACCCUGGUAG